UUAAGCGACUAAGCGUACACGGUGGAUGCCCUGGCAGUCAGAGGCGAUGAAGGACGUGCUAAUCUGCGAAAAGCGUCGGUAAGGUGAUAUGAACCGUUACAGCCGGCGAUGUCCGAAUGGGGAAACCCAGUGCAAUUCGUUGCACUAUCGUUAACUGAAUACAUAGGUUAACGAGGCGAACCGGGGGAACUGAAACAUCUAAGUACCCCGAGGAAAAGAAAUCAACCGAGAUUCCCCCAGUAGCGGCGAGCGAACGGGGAGCAGCCCAGAGUCUGAAUCAGCUUGUGUGUUAGUGGAACGGUCUGGAAAGUCCGACGGUACAGGGUGAUAGUCCCGUACACCAAAAUGCACAGGUUGUGAACUCGAAGAGUAGGGCGGGACACGUGGUAUCCUGUCUGAAUAUGGGGGGACCAUCCUCCAAGGCUAAAUACUCCUGACUGACCGAUAGUGAACCAGUACCGUGAGGGAAAGGCGAAAAGAACCCCGGCGAGGGAGUGAAAAGAACCUGAAACCGUGUACGUACAAGCAGUGGGAGCACCUUCGGGUGUGACUGCGUACCUUUGUAUAAUGGGUCAGCGACUUAUAUUCUGUAGCAAGGUUAACCGUAUAGGGGAGCCGCAGGGAAACCGAGUCUUAACUGGGCGUUAAGUUGCAGGGUAUAGACCCGAAACCCGGUGAUCUAGCCAUGGGCAGGUUGAAGGUUGGGUAACACUAACUGGAGGACCGAACCGACUAAUGUUGAAAAAUUAGCGGAUGACUUGUGGCUGGGGGGUGAAAGGCCAAUCAAACCGGGAGAUAGCUGGUUCUCCCCGAAAGCUAUUUAGGUAGCGCCUCGUGAACUCAUCUUCGGGGGUAGAGCACUGUUUCGGCUAGGGGGUCAUCCCGACUUACCAACCCGAUGCAAACUACGAAUACCGAAGAAUGUUAUCACGGGAGACACACGGCGGGUGCUAACGUCCGUCGUGAAGAGGGAAACAACCCAGACCGCCAGCUAAGGUCCCAAAGUCAUGGUUAAGUGGGAAACGAUGUGGGAAGGCACAGACAGCCAGGAUGUUGGCUUAGAAGCAGCCAUCAUUUAAAGAAAGCGUAAUAGCUCACUGGUCGAGUCGGCCUGCGCGGAAGAUGUAACGGGGCUAAACCAUGCACCGAAGCUGCGGCAGCGACACUAUGUGUUGUUGGGUAGGGGAGCGUUCUGUAAGCCUGCGAAGGUGUGCUGUGAGGCAUGCUGGAGGUAUCAGAAGUGCGAAUGCUGACAUAAGUAACGAUAAAGCGGGUGAAAAGCCCGCUCGCCGGAAGACCAAGGGUUCCUGUCCAACGUUAAUCGGGGCAGGGUGAGUCGACCCCUAAGGCGAGGCCGAAAGGCGUAGUCGAUGGGAAACAGGUUAAUAUUCCUGUACUUGGUGUUACUGCGAAGGGGGGACGGAGAAGGCUAUGUUAGCCGGGCGACGGUUGUCCCGGUUUAAGCAUGUAGGCUGGUUAUCCAGGCAAAUCCGGAUAAUCAAGGCUGAGGUGUGAUGACGAGGCACUACGGUGCUGAAGUAACAAAUGCCCUGCUUCCAGGAAAAGCCUCUAAGCAUCAGGUAACAUCAAAUCGUACCCCAAACCGACACAGGUGGUCAGGUAGAGAAUACCAAGGCGCUUGAGAGAACUCGGGUGAAGGAACUAGGCAAAAUGGUGCCGUAACUUCGGGAGAAGGCACGCUGGUGUGUAGGUGAAGUCCCUGCGGAUGGAGCUGAGACCAGUCGAAGAUACCAGCUGGCUGCAACUGUUUAUUAAAAAACACAGCACUGUGCAAACACGAAAGUGGACGUAUACGGUGUGACGCCUGCCCGGUGCCGGAAGGUUAAUUGAUGGGGUUAUCCGUAAGGAGAAGCUCUUGAUCGAAGCCCCGGUAAACGGCGGCCGUAACUAUAACGGUCCUAAGGUAGCGAAAUUCCUUGUCGGGUAAGUUCCGACCUGCACGAAUGGCGUAAUGAUGGCCAGGCUGUCUCCACCCGAGACUCAGUGAAAUUGAACUCGCUGUGAAGAUGCAGUGUACCCGCGGCAAGACGGAAAGACCCCGUGAACCUUUACUAUAGCUUGACACUGAACAUUGAGCCUUGAUGUGUAGGAUAGGUGGGAGGCUUUGAAGCGUGGACGCCAGUCUGCGUGGAGCCAACCUUGAAAUACCACCCUUUAAUGUUUGAUGUUCUAACGUUGGCCCCUGACCGGGGUUGCGGACAGUGUCUGGUGGGUAGUUUGACUGGGGCGGUCUCCUCCCAAAGCGUAACGGAGGAGCACGAAGGUUAGCUAAUCGGUCGGACAUCAGGAGGUUAGUGCAAUGGCAUAAGCUAGCUUGACUGCGAGCGUGACGGCGCGAGCAGGUGCGAAAGCAGGUCAUAGUGAUCCGGUGGUUCUGAAUGGAAGGGCCAUCGCUCAACGGAUAAAAGGUACUCCGGGGAUAACAGGCUGAUACCGCCCAAGAGUUCAUAUCGACGGCGGUGUUUGGCACCUCGAUGUCGGCUCAUCACAUCCUGGGGCUGAAGUAGGUCCCAAGGGUAUGGCUGUUCGCCAUUUAAAGUGGUACGCGAGCUGGGUUUAGAACGUCGUGAGACAGUUCGGUCCCUAUCUGCCGUGGGCGCUGGAGAAUUGAGGGGGGCUGCUCCUAGUACGAGAGGACCGGAGUGGACGCAUCACUGGUGUUCGGGUUGUCAUGCCAAUGGCACUGCCCGGUAGCUAAAUGCGGAAGAGAUAAGUGCUGAAAGCAUCUAAGCACGAAACUUGCCCCGAGAUGAGUUCUCCCUGAGACUAUAAGUCUCCUGAAGGAACGUUAAAGACGAUGACGUUGAUAGGCCGGGUGUGUAAGCGCAGCGAUGCGUUGAGCUAACCGGUACUAAUGAACCGUGAGGCUUAACCU
rnacentral:rRNA from 1 species